rnacentral:rRNA from 1 species
GACGAACGCUGGCGGCGUGCUUAACACAUGCAAGUCGAACGGUAAAGCCAUGCUUUGGUGCUUUGCUCGAGUUGCGAACGGGUGAAUAACACGUCAGUAACCUGCCCCUUACUUAAGCAACACUUCAGAAAACUGUGGCUUAUACCGAAUAGGAUUACCUCCUUAAUGGUUUGCGUUGAAGAGUUUCGGCGGUUGGGGAAGUACUCGCGGCUGAGCAGCUUGUUGGUGGGGUAGUCGCUUAGCAAGGCUUUGACGGGUAGCCGGACUGGGUGGGUGACCGGCCAGAUUGGGCUGGAGCUACGGCACAGACUACUACGGGAGGCAGCAGUGCGGAAGAGAGCAUAAUGCGCGGAAGCGUGAUGCAGUACAGCGGCGUGGGGGGUGACGGGAAUCGGGUUGUAAACCGCUUCUGUCUGUGACGAAGAGUGAGUGACGGUAAUGUGUAAAGAAGCUCCGGCUAACUACAUG